rnacentral:rRNA from 1 species
UACGUAGGUGGCAAGCGUUGUCCGGAAUUAUUGGGCGUAAAGCGCGCGCAGGCGGUUCUUUAAGUCUGAUGUGAAAGCCCACGGCUCAACCGUGGAGGGUCAUUGGAAACUGGGGGACUUGAGUACAGAAGAGGAAAGCGGAAUUCCACGUGUAGCGGUGAAAUGCGUAGAGAUGUGGAGGAACACCAGUGGCGAAGGCGGCUUUCUGGUCUGUAACUGACGCUGAGGCGCGAAAGCGUGGGGAGCAAACAGG